rnacentral:misc_RNA from 1 species
UCAAUCCCACGGGUUUCUCACCUGUGUGGACUUGGAACUGGGCGUCUGCCUCCCAAGGCUCGCCUCAAAUGACUUAGUGGGAACUUCUCGACCUACGCCUGACGUGAUAAGUUUCGUCUCGGCCGGUCCCGAGGCCCGCUCACAACCCCCAAUCUUUUGACAUUGACCUCAAAUCAGGUAGGGCUACCCGCUGAACUUAA